AUUGAACGCUGGCGGCAGGCCUAACACAUGCAAGUCGAGCGGAUGAAGGGAGCUUGCUCCUGGAUUCAGCGGCGGACGGGUGAGUAAUGCCUAGGAAUCUGCCUGGCAGUGGGGGAUAACGUCCGGAGACGGGCGCUAAUACUGCCUACGUCCUGAGGGAGAAAGUGGGGGAGGUUCGGACCUUAUGCUAUCAUGUGGGCCUAGGCCGGAUUAGUUAGUUGGUGGGGUAGGGGGCUACUAAGGCGACGAUCCGUAGAUGGUCUGAGAGGAUGAUCAGUCACCCGGGAGCGUGGCCACGGUCCAUGCUCCUACGGGAGGCAGCAGUGGGCAAUAUUGGACAAAGGGCGAAAGCCUGGUACAGCCAUGCCGCGUGUGUGGAGAAGGUCUUCGGAUUGUAAAGCACGUUAAGUUGUGAGGAAGGGCAUUAAGUUAAUACCUUGCUGUUUUGACGUUACCAACAGAAGAAGCACCGGCUAACUACGUG
rnacentral:rRNA from 1 species